AUGUCUGGGAAACUAGCCCGAUGGAGAGGGAGUAACUACUGGAAACGGUAGCUAAUACCGCAUAACGUCGCAAGACCAAAGAGGGGGACCUUCGGGCCUCUUGCCAUCGGAUGUGCCCAGAUGGGAUUAGCUAGUAGGUGGGGUAACGGCUCACCUAGGCGACGAUCCCUAGCUGGUCUGAGAGGAUGACCAGCCACACUGGAACUGAGACACGGUCCAGACUCCUACGGGAGGCAGCAUG
rnacentral:rRNA from 1 species